GUGAGUAAUGCCUAGGAAAUUGCCCUGAUGUGGGGGAUAACCAUUGGAAACGAUGGCUAAUACCGCAUGAUGCCUACGGGCCAAAGAGGGGGACCUUCGGGCCUCUCGCGUCAGGAUAUGCCUAGGUGGGAUUAGCUAGUUGGUGAGGUAAGGGCUCACCAAGGCGACGAUCCCUAGCUGGUCUGAGAGGAUGAUCAGCCACACUGGAACUGAGACACGGUCCAGACUCCUACGGGAGGCAGCAGUGGGGAAUAUUGCACAAUGGGCGCAAGCCUGAUGCAGCCAUGCCGCGUGUGUGAAGAAGGCCUUCGGGUUGUAAAGCACUUU
rnacentral:rRNA from 2 species